rnacentral:rRNA from 1 species
AAACGCUUGAAGUCAGUCGCGUCGUCCGGAGAUCAACCUUGCUUUUGCUGGGCGUACUCUCCGGUUGACGGGCCAGCAUCAGUUUUGGCCACUGGAAAAGGGCGGAGGAAAUGUGGCAUCUUCGGAUGUGUUAUAGUCUUCCGUCGUAUA